rnacentral:tRNA from 1 species
GGUGAGAUGGCCGAGAGGCUGAAGGCUCUCCCCUGCUAAGGGAGUAUACAAAAUUUUUGUAUCGAGGGUUCGAAUCCCUCUCUCACCACCA